AUCACUUCUCAGCCCUUUGGCUAGGAUCAAGUGUAAUAUCUGUUCUUAUCAGUUCAAUAUCUAAUACGGCCUCUAUCCAAAGACAAUAUAUUAAAUGGAUUUGGGGGGCUAGGAAGUGGGAUAGGAUCUUGCUACAUCCAUUGCCUGCAUCGACCUGGUAUUGUACCUCCAGGAAUGCACAGAAA